GAAUUUAACUUCAUAAAAUACAAGUUAUACUGAAUCUUUUCCCAAAAAAUUAUAUAGAUCAAUCUGCUCAGCUUCUUACGCUCUACAAUAUGCUGCCUGCAGCUCAAACACCAUGUUCAAUGUGGGCACACAACCCACUGUCUCAUCUAUCUAUUCAAUUUCAGAGAACAUUUGGUAAUGUUUCUUUGAUACACAACCCACUAUUCAUCCAACAGUGAAUAACCUGGUGGCUUUCAUUUUUGUUUGCCAAUAAUAUAUGUGAUUGACUUCUGGCUCAAAUUGCCUAUACUAUAUUCAGGACAUAUGACAUACUAGUCAUGAAUUUUACCAUUCCUAAGUAUAUCAACAACAUGCCCCAUCCCAUGCCCAUUGCAAGAAAACCCACCUGAGUUAUUGAAUGGAACAGUCAUAGAAAGUGCUUUCUGACAGAGCAUACAAUAGAGCAUAUGUGUCCUGAUGAAGACAUCCUGUAAACAGU